UGCUUUGGAAUAUCCUUUUGAGCUUGC
rnacentral:piRNA from 1 species